CAUAAAGUCAUCUAGGCGUAAAUAUGGCAGCAAUGUUAUUUAUACCAUAGACAUAGGUCUCGUAGCUCUGGGUGACCACAGACAGCUACAAUAUUGUUUUCCUUCAUCUCUGAUUCAACGUUAGGACGUCAGUGACAGCAGGAGGACAAUUUCAACGCUGAUAGGCUUUCGACACAGCGUCACUCCUGCAAUUACCGCUCAUCGCCAUAGCCAAAAAGAACAAAACGGAGAUCUUCGAGAUUGUUCGAGGUCUUACGAAGUUAUUGACAGCAGCUACACAGAUGUAGAAUCCUGGAUCCAGAGGCUUUGAAUGAUUACCACCUACUGACUGCAUACCCAGUAGCUGGAAAGUUGAUAGUGAUCCCAAGGAUGUGCCUGCUGCAUUACAUUUAAUGUCUUCACAGGCUUUGUUACUGUGCGUAAACAUAAACCCAAAACUCAUCCGGAGGGUUCAGCUGACUGAACCCCCUGAAUCUGUCGAGCAUCUGCAAGAUGAACUACGGGAGAGGCUUGGACUUAAAGGUGAAUUCUCU